rnacentral:misc_RNA from 1 species
GAUGAAGAACGUAGCGAAAUGCGAUAAGUAAUGUGAAUUGCAGAAUUCAGUGAAUCAUCGAAUCUUUGAACGCACAUUGCGCACGUCAGUAUUCUGGCGGGCAUGCCUGUUCGAGCGUCAUUACGCCCCUCAAGUCCCCUGUGGACUUGGUGUUGGGGAUCGGCGAGGCUGGUUUUCCAGCACAGCCGUCCCUUAAAUUAAUUGGCGGUCUCGCCGUGGCCCUCCUCUGCGCAGUAGUAAAACACUCGCAACAGGAGCCCGGCGCGGUCCACUGCCGUAAAACCCCCCAACUUUUUAUAGUUGACCUCGAAUCAGGUAGGACUACCCGCUGAACUUAAGCAUAUCAAUAAGCGGAGGA